AAACCAGCACCUCAAGUGGUCAGGAUGAUUAUUGGGCCUAAAGCAUCCGUAGCCUGUUUUGUCAGUUUUCGGUUAAAUCCAUACGCUCAACGUACAGGCUGCCGGGAAUACUGCAGGGCUAGGGAGUGGGAGAGGUAGACGGUACUCGGGAGGAAGUGGUAAAAUGCUUUGAUCUCUCGAUGACCACCUGUGGCGAAGGCGGUCUACCAGAACACGUCCGACGGUGAGGGAUGUAAGCUGGGGGAGCAAACCGGAUUAGAAACCCGAGUAGUCC
rnacentral:rRNA from 1 species